GUGUUGGUCGCGCGAAGCAGAAAAUGGAAGUGAAUGACGUGUCUGUGGCUGCUGUGUCACGUAUUAGAGAGACCUACAUAUGCCUGGUGUAGUUUUGGUGUUCGGGGAGGCAAAAACCAUCUUCGUUCAUCUCCGACGACGCGCGUGUUCUAGCACAAGAUUCCUCAGACCAGUGCGCGAAGACGAAUGUGGUUCGAAACACUCGGCAAUUAGAUACCGCAGUCGUGUCGUGUGUGCUGAGCUCAUUUUGCUGCCGAUGACUACGAAGAUGCCGUAGAAAGCGAAUUGAGAAGACGUCCGAAACAAAUUGCCGUUCAGUACCAGUGAUUUUGCCUCACCGAGGUGACGAGUUCAACACAACGUCUUGGGGGCCUUCCAGUGUUGAAGUGGCGCCAGACUGCUUCGUGUGUGUGAUCCAGGCACUCAAGUUGACAUGGCAGAAAUAGCUGAAAACAGGUUUUACAACUCUAUCAAGUACGUCAAAACGUCACAGGGCAGGAAGUCUUACUCUGUUUCCUAAAUCCCUGGACAAUAAAAAAAGAAA